rnacentral:rRNA from 1 species
GACGAACGCUGGCGGCGCGCUUAACACAUGCAAGUCGAACGGAAAGGCCUGCUUUCCCUUGUGGAUUGCGGGUACUCGAGUGGCGAACGGGUGAGUAACACGUGAGUGAUCUGCCCCCAACUUGGGUAUAAGCCUGGGAAACUGGGUCUAAUUCCCGAUAGGACUGCAGGGUGGUGCCUGUGGUGGAAAACGAUUUUCUAGUGGUUGGGGAUGAGCUCGCGGCCUAUCAGCUUGUUGGUGGGGUAAUGGCCUACCAAGGCGGCGACGGGUAGCCGGCCUGAGAGGGUGGACGGCCACAUUGGGACUGAGAUACGGCCCAGACUCCUACGGGAGGCAGCAGUGGGGAAUAUUGCACAAUGGGCGGAAGCCUGAUGCAGCGACGCCGCGUGGGGGAUGACGGCCUUCGGGUUGUAAACUCCUUUCGACCGCGAGGAAGCCACCUGGUGGGAAGGGUGGUGACGGUAGUGGUAGAAGAAGCACCGGCUAACUACGU